UUGGAGGGCAAGUCUGGUGCCAGCAGCCGCGGUAAUUCCAGCUCCAAUAGCGUAUAUUAAAGUUGUUGCAGUUAAAAGCUCGUAGUUGAACUUCGGGAUCAAUUGAUUGGUCAUGCCAUUGGUAUGUACUGGUCAUAUUGGUUCUCACCUUCUAAGGAACCAUAAUGUCAUUAAUUUGAUGUUUUGGGGAAUUAGGACUGUUACCUUGAAAAAUUAGAGUGUUUAAAGCAGGCUAACGCUUGAAUACAUUAGCAUGGAAUAAUGAAAUAGGACAUCGCAUUCUAUUUUGUUGGUUUCUAGGAUCGAUGUAAUGAUUAAUAGGGAUAGUUGGGGGCAUUAGUAUUCAAUUGUCAGAGGUGAAAUUCUUGGAUUUAUUGAAGACUAACUACUGCGAAAGCAUUUGCCAAGGAUGUUUUCAUUAAUCAAGAACGAAAGUUAGGGGAUCGAAGACGAUCAGAUACCGUCGUAGUCUUAACCAUAAACUAUGCCGACUAGGGAUCGGAUGAUGUUGAUUUUUAAUGAC
rnacentral:rRNA from 1 species